rfam:Glycine soja cultivar W05 scaffold4237_65, whole genome shotgun sequence.
UUUUGGUUGGAUGAUGAUGAUCACCACGUGACAAGUUCUGACUGAAUGUUAACUCUAUAAAUGAUGAAAAUGUAUUGUUAUUAUUCACGUCCAAUCAAAAUAUGAUACUAACAGUUAUCCAUU